rnacentral:rRNA from 1 species
AAUUUAUAAGGAAAGAAAUAUUUUUGAUUUUUUAGUAGGCUUGGAAUUGGCCAUAAGAUAGUGUUAUAAGAUAAAAGGUUAGAAGUAGGAUUUAUUAUUCUUUUGGGGUUAUAAAGUUAAUUAUAAAAUUAUAUGAUUAUUGAAAAUAUGAUAGCAUAAGUAGAUAGACUACAGAUAGGAAAAAAAAAUGGAAUUUUUUUUUGUAUUAAAUAGUUAAUAAAAGUUAUAGUAAAAGAACUCGGCAAAUAGGAUUUCCGAAUGUUUAACAAAAACAUUUCUUCUUACAGAAGGGAAGUAAGACCUGCUCACUGAGUAUUUAAAGAGCCGCAGUAUUUUGACUGUGCUAAGGUAGCAUAAUCAUUAGUCUUUUAAUUGGGGACUGGUAUGAAUGGUUUAACGAGAAAUCAACUUUUUUUAUUAUAAGAAUUGAAUUUAAUUUUUUAGUGAGAAAGCUAAAAUUAUUCAGAAAGACGAGAAGACCCUAUAGAGUUUUAUAUUUAAAAGAAAUUUUUUCGUUUAGGUUUUUUAGGAAGAAUUUUUUUUUUGGUAUUUAGUUGGGGCGACGUUUAGAUAAGGAAAACCCUUUAUUAAUAAAACUUUAAUAAAAGUAUAGUAUGAUCCUAUAAUAAAGAUUAAAAGAAAAAAUUAC